GGCCGGGCCCGGAGCACGGGUGGCUCGUGAACCUGGUCAGGGCCGGAAGGCAGCAGCCAUAAGCGAUUCCCAUUCGGGGCAUCGGUGUCCUGGCCGUC
rnacentral:SRP_RNA from 1 species